GGCGCAGUAGAGUAAGGCAGUAGAGCGCAGUAGAGUAAGACAGUAGAGCGCAGUAGAGUAAGACAGUAGAGCGCAGUAGAGUAAGGCAGUAGAGCGCAGUAGAGUAAGGCAGUAGAGCGCAGUAGAGUAAGGCAGUAGAGCGCAGUAGAGUAAGGCAGUAGAGCGCAGUAGAGUAAGGCAGUAGAGCGCAGUAGAGUAAGACAGUAGAGCGCAGUAGAGUAAGACAGUAGAGAGCAGUAGAGUAAGACAGUAGAGUAAGGCAGUAGAGUAAGGCAGUAG